GCCAAUGUGGCACAGUGGUUUGAGUAUUGGACUAUGCCUUUGGAGACCAGGGUUUGAUUCCCUGUUCAGCCA
rnacentral:tRNA from 1 species